CAAUCUAAGCACCCAUUUUUAAGGGUUUCGGCGCAGCAGUUCUAGGGUUUUCCACCCCGUUUCGGCCUUUUAUCCACCAUUUCACUAUUGUAGUUAGUGAAUGGUAGCGGCGCUCCUUAUUUCCAUCAAAGCUGGGACUCUCGGCUCAUUUUCACUCAGAAAUCCCCAUUUCAAACUCUGAUUUUGUCGGGGGAAACAAGGAUUUCGAUGGUGCAUCUAGACUCGGCGGUACGGAGGAGCGGGGAGACGUGCGAAGGAGGCCGUGCGAGGAGCCACUCGUGGGAACCCAACUCUCUGGCCUAUUCCAGAAGUUUCUGGUGCUCUCAGCUGCUGUACUCCUUUUUAGGUGUAUUGGGCCUCGGGUUUGGGCUAUUAGAAUUAGGUUUUAGGAUUUAUUUAAUUGGGCCGGAUUUUAUGUAAUUGGAUUAAGGGAUUUUGGGUGUUUGUUUAGGCUAUUAUUUUUUUGGGCUAAAUGAAUUGUAAAUGGACUUUAAAUCCAUAAACAUUUUAAUUUAUUAUUUUAUUUCUGUUUGGUUUA